rnacentral:rRNA from 1 species
UACGUAGGGUGCAGGCGUUAAUCGGAAUUACUGGGCGUAAAGCGUGCGCAGGCGGUUUGCUAAGACAGGUGUGAAAUCCCCGGGCUUAACCUGGGAACUGCGCUUGUUACUGGCAAGCUAGAGUGUGGCAGAGGGGGGUGGAAUUCCUGGUGUAGCGGUGAAAUGCGCAGAUAUCAGGAGGAACACCAGCGGCGAAGGCGGCGCUCUGGGCCGGAACUGACGCUGAGGAGCGAAAGCGUGGGGAGCAAACAGG